GAGACGUUUAGGCUUAGUGACAGCUUCUGGCUUAUGGAUCUCAGCAGUAACUCCUUUCGUUCCCAUCUCCCUGGCCUUGCCAGCAGGUCUGCAUGGACUGCACCAGUCGCUUGAGAUCUUCCCCUACAGAAGCUCAGAAGUGACAACAUUCCUGACCCAAACAGCAGCUCAUCCUGGAGUAACUCCUGAACACAACCAGUUCUCCUCUGUGUGGAUUUGGCGUCAGCAGUGGCUCUGCAAUAUUGGAUCUGAUUCUUCAUCUUCUACCUCAAGUUCUAGUGUAAUUCAGGACACCAAAAAGCAUGUGACCACUCCUUUCAAAACAAAAUACAUUAGAAGAAAAUAUGCUUACACAAUUAAAGACAGUAAAUGUCAAGUGACAAUUCUGGAUAAAAGUAUACUACAAUUUGGAGGCGAGCUUUUGGGGCACUCCUUUCUCAGAGCAACGUGGCCGUGCCCUGCGCAUGUUGCUGUUAUCAGCAGCACUGCAGUGAGAUGCCCAAGGCCAUGAGGCAC